AGGGCGGGACACGUGAUAUCCUGUCUGAAUAUGGGGGGACCAUCCUCCAAGGCUAAAUACUACUGACUGACCGAUAGUGAACCAGUACCGUGAGGGAAAGGCGAAAAGAACCCCUGUGAGGGGAGUGAAAUAGAACCUGAAACCGUGUACGUACAAGCAGUAGGAGCAGGCUUUGUCCUGUGACUGCGUACCUUUUGUAUAAUGGGUCAGCGACUUAUAUUCAGUGGCAAGGUUAACCAUCUAGGGGAGCCGUAGGGAAACCGAGUCUUAACUGGGCGUUCAGUCUCUGGAUAUAGACCCGAAACCAGGUGAUCUAGCCAUGGGCAGGUUGAAGGUUGAGUAACAUCAACUGGAGGACCGAACCGACUAAUGUUGAAAAAUUAGCGGAUGACUUGUGGCUAGGGGUGAAAGGCCAAUCAAACCUGGAGAUAGCUGGUUCUCCCCGAAAGCUAUUUAGGUAGCGCCUCGGACGAAUACUACUGGGGGUAGAGCACUGUUAAGGCUAGGGGGUCAUCCCGACUUACCAACCCUUUGCAAACUCCGAAUACCAGUAAGUACUAUCCGGGAGACACACGGCGGGUGCUAACGUCCGUCGUGGAGAGGGAAACAACCCAGACCGCCAGCUAAGGUCCCAAAUUACUACUAAGUGGGAAACGAUGUGGGAAGGCUCAGACAGCCAGGAUGUUGGCUUAGAAGCAGCCAUCAUUUAAAGAAAGCGUAAUAGCUCACUGGUCGAGUCGGCCUGCGCGGAAGAUGUAACGGGGCUAAGUA
rnacentral:rRNA from 1 species